rnacentral:rRNA from 1 species
GAUGAACGCUGGCGGCGUGCCUAAUACAUGCAAGUCGAGCGAACAGACGAGGAGCUUGCUCCUCUGACGUUAGCGGCGGACGGGUGAGUAACACGUGGAUAACCUACCUAUAAGACUGGGAUAACUUCGGGAAACCGGAGCUAAUACCGGAUAAGAUAUUGAACCGCAUGGUUCAAUAGUGAAAGACGGUGUUGCUGGCACUUAUAGAUGGAUCCGCGCCGCAUUAGCUAGUUGGUAAGGUAACGGCUUACCAAGGCAACGAUGCGUAGCCGACCUGAGAGGGCGAUCGGCCACCCUGGAACUGAGACACGGUCCAGACUCCUACGGGAGCCAGCAGUAGGGAAUCUUCCGCAAUGGGCGAAAGCCUGACGGAGCAACGCCGCGUGAGUGAUGAACGUCUUCGGAUCGUAAAACUCUGUUAUUAGGGAAGAACAAAUGUGUAAGUAACUAUGCACGUCUUGACGGUACCUAAUCAGAAAGCCACGGCUAACUACGUG